rnacentral:rRNA from 1 species
UCCGGAUUUNUUGGGCGUAAAGCGAGCGCAGGCGGUUUGAUAAGUCUGAAGUUAAAGGCUGUGGCUCAACCAUAGUUCGCUUUGGAAACUGUCAAACUUGAGUGCAGAAGGGGAGAGUGGAAUUCCAUGUGUAGCGGUGAAAUGCGUAGAUAUAUGGAGGAACACCGGUGGCGAAAGCGGCUCUCUGGUCUGUAACUGACGCUGAGGCUCGAAAGCGUGGGGAGCGAACAGGAUUAGAUACCCUGGUAGUCCACGCCGUAAACGAUGAGUGCUAGGUGUUGGGUCCUUUCCGGGAUUCAGUGCCGCAGCUAACGCAUUAAGCACUCCGCCUGGGGAGUACGACCGCAAGGUUGAAACUCAAAGGAAUUGACGGGGGCCCGCACAAGCGGUGGAGCAUGUGGUUUAAUUCGAAGCAACGCGAAGAACCUUACCAGGUCUUGACAUCCCGAUGCUAUUUCUAGAGAUAGGAAGUUACUUCGGUACAUCGGUGACAGGUGGUGCAUGGUUGUCGUCAGCUCGUGUCGUGAGAUGUCGGGUUAAGUCCCGCAACGAGCGCAACCCCUAUUGUUAGUUGCCAUCAUUCAGUUGGGCACUCUAGCGAGACUGCCGGUAAUAAACCGGAGGAAGGUGGGGAUGACGUCAAAUCAUCAUGCCCCUUAUGACCUGGGCUACACACGUGCUACAAUGGUUGGUACAACGAGUUGCGAGUCGGUGACGGCGAGCUAAUCUCUUAAAGCCAAUCUCAGUUCGGAUUGUAGGCUGCAACUCGCCUACAUGAAGUCGGAAUCGCUAGUAAUCGCGGAUCAGCACGCCGCGGUGAAUACGUUCCCGGGCCUUGUACACACCGCCCGUCACACCACGAGAGUUUGUAACACCCGAAGUCGGUGAGGUANCCUUAUGGAGCCA